rnacentral:rRNA from 1 species
UACGGAGGGUGCGAGCGUUGUCCGGAAUUACUGGGCGUAAAGAGCUCGUAGGUGGUUUGUCGCGUUGUUCGUGAAAACUCACAGCUUAACUGUGGGCGUGCGGGCGAUACGGGCAGACUUGAGUACUGCAGGGGAGACUGGAAUUCCUGGUGUAGCGGUGGAAUGCGCAGAUAUCAGGAGGAACACCGGUGGCGAAGGCGGGUCUCUGGGCAGUAACUGACGCUGAGGAGCGAAAGCGUGGGGAGCGAACAGG